rnacentral:rRNA from 1 species
GCGAAAAUAAAUGCUUUCGUAGGUGACCUGCGGAAGGAUCAUUAUUGAAAUGCUUUGGAGAAGUACUGUUGCUGGCCUCUUAACAGAGGCAUGUGCACGUCUUCUUUAACCCAUCUAUUCAUCCACCUGUGCACUUUUUGUAGAAGUUCUUGUGAGGUUUUGGUUGUAAGGAACUCAACUCUCUAACUGUCGAUUUGAAAGACUUCUUCAAUCUAACUAUCAAGUUUAUCAUGUUAGAGAAUGUUAUUUUACUGUGACGUGAUUGACCCUUUCAACUUUAUACAACUUUCAACAACGGAUCUCUUGCCCUCUAACAUCGAGGAAGAACGUGUCUAAAUGCGAGAAUUCAUGCGUAUCGCCCAAUUGGUGUUGCAUCUAAUCUUUGAACGCACCUUGCGCCCUUUGGUAUUCCGAAGGGAUGCCUGUUAUGAGUGUAAUUAGAUCACAACUUCAAUAAUUUUUAUAGCUCAUUGAAGCUUGGAUGUGGGAGCUUGCUGGCGUCUUAGAUGUUCGGCUCUCCUUAAAAGCAUUAGUGGAAACUCGUUUGUUGGACCACCCUUGGUGUGAUAAUUAUCUACGCCUUGGUCAGUCUGGCAGCUCUGGUUUGAUUGUCCUCAGGCGUUCCCAGGGAACCGUUCGGGUGGGGGCGGCUGCUUUAAUUUGCUCUGCCGGCAAUAAAAUCUCACUAAAGUAGGAAUGUCUGCUUUCUAACCGUCUGUGUAUCCGGACAAUUUAUUGACUAUUUGACCUCAAAUCAGGUAGAACUACCCGCUGAACUAAAGCAACAAAAGGGGGAAAGAAA